rfam:Burkholderia sp. OLGA172 chromosome 1, complete sequence.
AGAGUCCACUACGAUGAAGGCAUAGCGAGCCACAUCGCCCCCGAGCCGUGCGCGGGCAUCCGUGAGGAGGUCAGCGAAGCGUCGGCAGGGGAAUGUGCAGGCCAGCCAUGGAGCCACGAAAUGGUUUAUAUCCCGGAUGCCGACGCGCUCCAGUACGUGGAAGGCAAUACGAGCGGGCGCGACAUCGCGAGUGCCUGCCGAUCCGGCGUGGUCGUAGAACC